rnacentral:rRNA from 1 species
CAGCCGCCACGGGAAUACGUAGGUGGCAAGCGUUGUCCGGAAUUAUUGGGCGUAAAGGGCUCGCAGGCGGUUUCUUAAGUCUGAUGUGAAAGCCCCCGGCUCAACCGGGGAGGGUCAUUGGAAACUGGGAAACUUGAGUGCAGAAGAGGAGAGUGGAAUUCCACGUGUAGCGGUGAAAUGCGUAGGGAUGUGGAGGAACACCAGUGGCGAAGGCGACUCUCUGGUCUGUAACUGACGCUGAGGAGCGAAAGCGUGGGGAGCGAACAGGAUUAGAUACCCCAGUAGUCCCUGUCUCUUAUAC